GAUGAACGCUAGCGGCAGGCCUAACACAUGCAAGUCGAGGGAGAGGUUACCUUCGGGUAACCAAAACCGGCGCACGGGUGCGUAACGCGUAUACAAUCUGCCUUUCACAUAGGGAUAGCCCGAAGAAAUUUGGAUUAAUACCUAAUGGUAUAUAAGAGCGGCAUCGUUUUUAUAUUAAAGCUACGGUGGUGAAAGAUGAGUAUGCGUUCUAUUAGCUAGUUGGAGAGGUAACGGCUCCCCAAGGCGACGAUAGAUAGGGGUUCUGAGAGGGAUGUCCCCCCAACCUGUAACGGGGUAACGAACAGGACUCUACGGGAAGCAGGAGUGGGGGAUAUUGGGAAAAGGUCGGAAAAAUUGACCCACCCAGGCGCGUGCAAGAAGGAAGGCCCAUGGAUUGUAAACUGGUUUUGUAAGGGGAGAAAAAGGGGUAAGUGGAACUUGAUGACGGUAACUUAAGAAUAAGGCACGGCUAAAUUCGUG
rnacentral:rRNA from 1 species